ACGGUACAGGAUGGGCAUGCGUCCUAUUAGCUAGAUGGUAAGGUAACGGCUUACCAUGGCAACGAUAGGUAGGGGGCCUGAGAGGGUGAUCCCCCACACUGGUACUGAGACACGGACCAG
rnacentral:rRNA from 1 species